rnacentral:rRNA from 1 species
UGGCUCAGGACGAACGCUGGCGGCGUGCUUAACACAUGCAAGUCGAACGAUGAUGCCCAGCUUGCUGGGUGGAUUAGUGGCGAACGGGUGAGUAACACGUGAGUAACCUGCCCCUGACUCUGGGAUAAGCGUUGGAAACGACGUCUAAUACUGGAUAUGACUGCCGGCCGCAUGGUCUGGUGGUGGAAAGAUUUUUUGGUUGGGGAUGGACUCGCGGCCUAUCAGCUUGUUGGUGAGGUAAUGGCUCACCAAGGCGACGACGGGUAGCCGGCCUGAGAGGGUGACCGGCCACACUGGGACUGAGACACGGCCCAGACUCCUACGGGAGGCAGCAGUGGGGAAUAUUGCACAAUGGGCGAAAGCCUGAUGCAGCAACGCCGCGUGAGGGAUGACGGCCUUCGGGUUGUAAACCUCUUUUAGUAGGGAAGAAGCGAAAGUGACGGUACCUGCAGAAAAAGCACCGGCUAACUACGUGCCAGCAGCCGCGGUAAUACGUAGGGUGCAAGCGUUGUCCGGAAUUAUUGGGCGUAAAGAGCUCGUAGGCGGUUUGUCGCGUCUGCUGUGAAAUCCCGAGGCUCAACCUCGGGCUUGCAGUGGGUACGGGCAGACUAGAGUGCGGUAGGGGAGAUUGGAAUUCCUGGUGUAGCGGUGGAAUGCGCAGAUAUCAGGAGGAACACCGAUGGCGAAGGCAGAUCUCUGGGCCGUAACUGACGCUGAGGAGCGAAAGCGUGGGGAGCGAACAGGAUUAGAUACCCUGGUAGUCCACGCCGUAAACGUUGGGCGCUAGAUGUAGGGACCUUUCCACGGUUUCUGUGUCGUAGCUAACGCAUAAGCGCCCCGC